AUUGCACAAUGGGCGCAAGCCUGAUGCAGCGACGCCGCGUGAGGGAUGACGGCCUUCGGGUUGUAAACCUCUUUCAGUAGGGAAGAAGCGAAAGUGACGGUACCUGCAGAAGAAGCACCGGCUAACUACGUGCCAGCAGCCGCGGUAAUACGUAGGGUGCGAGCGUUAUCCGGAAUUAUUGGGCGUAAAGAGCUCGUAGGCGGUUUGUCGCGUCUGUCGUGAAAGUCCGGGGCUUAACCCCGGAUCUGCGGUGGGUACGGGCAGACUAGAGUGCAGUAGGGGAGACUGGAAUUCCUGGUGUAGCGGUGGAAUGCGCAGAUAUCAGGAGGAACACCGAUGGCGAAGGCAGGUCUCUGGGCUGUAACUGACGCUGAGGAGCGAAAGCAUGGGGAGCGAACAGGAUUAGAUACCCUGGUAGUCCAUGCCGUAAACGUUGGGCACUAGGUGUGGGGACCAUUCCACGGUUUCCGCGCCGCAGCUAACGCAUUAAGUGCCCCGCCUGGGGAGUACGGCCGCAAGGCUAAAACUCAAAGGAAUUGACGGGGGCCCGCACAAGCGGCGGAGCAUGCGGAUUAAUUCGAUGCAACGCGAAGAACCUUACCAAGGCUUGACAUGUUCUCGAUCGCCGUAGAGAUACGGUUUCCCCUUUGGGGCGGGUUCACAGGUGGUGCAUGGUUGUCGUCAGCUCGUGUCGUGAGAUGUUGGGUUAAGUCCCGCAACGAGCGCAACCCUCGUUCCAUGUUGCCAGCACGUCGUGGUGGGGACUCAUGGGAGACUGCCGGGGUCAACUCGGAGGAAGGUGAGGACGACGUCAAAUCAUCAUGCCCCUUAUGUCUUGGGCUUCACGCAUGCUACAAUGGCCGGUACAAUGGGUUGCGAUACUGUGAGGUGGAGCUAAUCCCAAAAAGCCGGUCUCAGUUCGGAUUGGGGUCUGCAACUCGACCCCAUGAAGUCGGAGUCGCUAGUAAUCGCAGAUCAGCAACGCUGCGGUGAAUACGUUCCC
rnacentral:rRNA from 1 species